AACCAGUCACCUCCCUGGGGACAAAACUGCCCCUUCCCUGGGUGUGAGCUCUCCUGCUGAGCGCUCCCGGGCUCCUCUGAGGAUCCUGUUACCAGACUAAGCACAGCCAGGAGGCUCGGGCCUGGCUGGGGCAAAGGCCGCACUUUGGGGAUGUCCCAGGGGUUCUCUCUGUUGGGCAGACAAGCUCAGGGCGCCCACAGUGGGGCCAGAAGGAUCACACCUCCCCCCACAAGCUCAGAGAGGGCUGCCUACGCCAUUUCCCUCCAGACCCUCCCAGUGGGGCCCAACCUCCCCUUGUUCUGCUCGGCAGGGCGCCCAGAGAUAGCUUUCAUCCGCCACGCUGGUCUGUGCCGGUGAAGGGCCUGGUGGGCAGGCUCUAGCCACACCGCCAGGACGCUGGCCUGUAAGGAGGCCCCCAAUCUCUGGUUCCGCCUGCCAGAGGCCCCCUCCCACUGGAACCUGGGCUCCUAAGGAAGGUCCUGGCCAGCAUCCCAGCAGGCUCCAGUUCACCCCGGGGCACAGGCAGCCCUGGGCCCCCCCUCCGCCCCUCCCUCGGAUCCUGAGGCCAUUUUAACCUCGCCCUGACCUCUGCAGGCCGGACCGCAGGGGCCAUUCUACCUAGCGCGGGACCUGCACACACUCACAGGAUCAAGUCGGGAAAAGCAAUCUUUUUAUUGAACGUACCUAGGUCUGGGGUGGGGGAGGACCGCAGGACCGGGUCAGGGCGAGGGGGGCGCGGCUCUACGGAGGGAGCAGGCCACAGGCCAGGCCUCAUUCGCGCGGGUCCGCCAGGACGCCUCGCUCGGCGGCGGCACUGCCUAAGAUGAAUCCCACGGCCAGGGACACGGUCUGGUCGAAGGAGCCGCGCAGCUGUUCCACGUGCUGGUUCAGGGUCAGCAGCUGGUCGCGAAGCGGGCCCAGGAUGGCCACGAUGUCGCCCAGGUGCCCCAAGGUCUGUCCUUGCCUUGGAAUUCACGCCCAGACCCCCGUCCCCCACCAUCUACUGGAACGUGGCUUUCAUUCUCCGUAACUUGUCCUGAAUCUUCCGAGAAUGCUUCUCGCUGGUGAUCUGGUGGAAGUUGGCCCUGUUGUCUGCUGCUAAAAUGGAAAUGUCGGCUCCGCUGAAACGGGCGAUUCUUUGCUUGAGGGAUGUAGGAGCCUGUUCACGGCAAUGGAAGGAGUUUUGCCACAGCAAAGCCAUCAGUUCCUUCCACCAUUCCAGGCUGGGUGCUGACAUGCUGGCUGUGUCUACAGAUCUGCUCCGUCAUGCUGACCGCACGGGCCUGGAAAUGCGCCACACCCCUGGUAUUGAGCCGUCAGGAAGGGCACCUGCAGACUCAGAAUGGGAAGCCCAUCCUCUCUCAGGCUGGGAGCAGGCCUGUACUCCCUGUACUUGGGGGCUCAGAUUUAGGAAUGUUCCCGGGAAGACGAGGUCUGUGAAGUGAGUGUCGAUUGUCCUUGUUCAUGUCCCCUUGGAAGGUCCUUGUGAAGCCCAACCACACAGGCCCCUAUUCAAAGACCCUGACUGGGGGAGCUACAUUUUGAUGUCACUUGUGAUAUUCGUAACGUUGUGGAUUAAAACAAACUGGAGAAGCCCAGCCUCCCUGUUCCCACGUCCUGGCAGAAGUGAGGAUGGGGCGGUUUGUUGGCUAAUAAACUCCUAAAGCUCACAAAUUCUCCCCAGAGGGGGAAAGAGCAGAAAACUCUGCAUUUGUUGACAGCUCUUGGGUUUGCCCCAUGGGAUUUUGGAGGACACAAAGGAAUAUUUGAAAAGGGAAAACAAAUUUUAGAGGCUGUUAAUACCAGGAAUGGACAUAUCCUGGCUUCGUCAUCUGAUGGGGAGGAGGUGGCCUCAGUGGGCUCUGAGGCAGCUCCUGGGGCACAACAAUGAUGUUCCCCCAACCCCCAAGCUCUCCUCAGUGCACUCAGCCCACUUAAGGGGCAGUGGUGGUGGGGUUCGUGCCUGGGGAGCCCUAUUAUUUGGGCUGGAGUUUGCUUUAAGGGAGCUGCUGCCUGGGAGGCAGUGGGCAUCCACCUGCAGGAGGGGGCUGCAUGACACAGGAGGAGCCCUGUGGUCCCAACAGUCGCUUCUGUGCUUGUCAAUGUGGCCGCCUCAUAUGGGCAGGACCCUGGUGACCCCCACCCGGCUGCUGGCCUCAGGUAGGGAGGAAAUCAGAGGCCUUGGCAAUAGGGUGCUCCCUGGGCAGAGGUACAGACGCCCCAGGGACUUGAGGGGGCUCUGUCCUUCCUCAACCCCUCCUGAGUGGGUGGGAACCUGAAUGGAAGUGUUGGCCCUGAGGCAGGUGACUGUCCCUCUUGGCCUGCCCAGUGCACUGUCUGAAGCAGAUGGGUCAGUUCAGGCUGAGAUACCCACAGUCCAGCCCUAGACCCACAGGACCUAGAAGAGACUGGGCCUUGGCGUGGGAAUAGGGAGCUUGACCUGGACUGGACUGCUGACCUGUGUUUCAUUUAGUCCACAAACUGGCUGAGGACACAAAAUGUGCUGCCUGCAGGGGAUGUGACAGUGACCAAAUUGAUCCCUACCCUCAAAGAGUUUAGGUUAGUGGGACAGUUGGGAGUCACAAUUCCCAGCCCUGGGACACAGCUCAGGCAGGGGUGUGGAGGGAGCUCCUAGGGGGAGUGUACUCUGAUUGGACCCUGAGCGUGUGUCUGAGAGUCUGUUAGGAGUUGUGUGUGUGUAAGGAGAAUGGUGUGAGUGUGUGUGUGAGGUGCCUGUGUGUGAGAGAGGGACACUGUGCAUGUGUCUGUGUGUGUGACUGUGUGUGAGGGACAGUGUAUAAAAGGGACUCUGUGUGAAGGACUGAUUGAAAAAAUGUGUGUGAGAAGGAUUGAGUGUGCAAAGGACUGUGUGUGAGAGGGACUGUGUGUGAAGGAUGUGUCUGUGAGAGAGACUGUCUAAAAGGACUGUGGGUGAGAGUGACUGUUAGAGGGAUGGUCUGUGUAUGAGGGAAUUGGUGUGAGAGGGACUAUGUGUGAGAGACAUUGUGUAUGAAAGGGAUUGUGUGUGUGAGAGUGAUGUGUGUGGGAGACUGUGUGAGGGACUGUGUAUGUGAAGGUCUGUGUGUGGGGGGUUGUGAGAACUGUGUGUGAGAGGCAUUGUGCAUAUGAGAGGGACUGAGUGUAUGAGAAGGACUGUUGUGAGUCUGUGUGUGAGAGGGACUGUGGGUGUGAGGAAUGUAUGUUUGAGAGACUGAGUGUGAGGAUCUGUGUAUGUGAGGGACCGUGUAUGGGAGGGGCUGAGUGUGAGAAGGAUUGUGUGUGUGAGGGACUGUGUGAAGAAC